rnacentral:rRNA from 1 species
GAUGAACGCUGGCGGCGUGCUUAACACAUGCAAGUCGAACGGAAAGGCCAGUGCUUGCCCUGGUACUCGAGUGGCGAACGGGUGAGUAACACGUGGGUGAUCUGCCCUGCACUUCGGGAUAAGCCUGGGAAACUGGGUCUAAUACCGGAUAGGACAAUGGUUUGGAUGCCGUUGUGGAAAGUUUUUUCGGUGUGGGAUGAGCUCGCGGCCUAUCAGCUUGUUGGUGGGGUAAUGGCCUACCAAGGCGUCGACGGGUAGCCGGCCUGAGAGGGUGUACGGCCACAUUGGGACUGAGAUACAGCCCAGAGUCCUACGGGAGGCAGCAGUGGGGAAUAUUGCACAAUGGGCGCAAGCCUGAUGCAGCGACGCCGCGUGGGGGAUGACGGCCUUCGGGUUGUAAACUCCUUUCGCUAGGGACGAAGCGUAUUUGUGACGGUACCUGGAGAAGAAGCACCGGCUAACUACGUG